rnacentral:rRNA from 1 species
GCACAGAGAGCUUGCUCUCGGGUGACGAGCGGCGGACGGGUGAGUAAUGUCUGGGAAACUGCCUGAUGGAGGGGGAUAACUACUGGAAACGGUAGCUAAUACCGCAUAACGUCGCAAGACCAAAGUGGGGGACCUUCGGGCCUCAUGCCAUCAGAUGUGCCCAGAUGGGAUUAGCUAGUAGGUGGGGUAAUGGCUCACCUAGGCGACGAUCCCUAGCUGGUCUGAGAGGAUGACCAGCCACACUGGAACUGAGACACGGUCCAGACUCCUACGGGAGGCAGCAGUGGGGAAUAUUGCACAAUGGGCGCAAGCCUGAUGCAGCCAUGCCGCGUGUGUGAAGAAGGCCUUCGGGUUGUAAAGCACUUUCAGCGGGGAGGAAGGCGAUAAGGUUAAUAACCUUGUCGAUUGACGUUACCCGCAGAAGAAGCACCGGCUAACUCCGUGCCAGCAGCCGCGGUAAUACGGAGGGUGCAAGCGUUAAUCGGAAUUACUGGGCGUAAAGCGCACGCAGGCGGUCUGUCAAGUCGGAUGUGAAAUCCCCGGGCUCAACCUGGGAACUGCAUUCGAAACUGGCAGGCUAGAGUCUUGUAGAGGGGGGUAGAAUUCCAGGUGUAGCGGUGAAAUGCGUAGAUAUUAGGAGGAACACCAGUGGCGAAGGCGGCUUUCUGGACGACAACUGACGCUGAGGCGCGAAAGUGUGGGGAGCA